UUGACAGAUUUUACGGGCACAUCGAUUGGUUUUUGACCUAGUCAGGUCAGGGAUUCGAACCAGCAAUCUCUCAGUUCCUGGUCCAGCGCUCUUAGCUGCUAGGCUACCUACCGCCCAAGACAAGAUGCAUUUGACAGUGAAAAAGGAUGCAAGCAUUCAACAAACACCCAUUUUACCUCGUCCUCGCUCACUCUCCUUUGCAUCUUGUUCGUCUCCUCCUCAGUCAAGUUCCUGUGUUUCCCACCCAACCUGACAGAUAUUGUGCAGCCAUGUGGCAUUAAAGGGAACUGCAGUGUCCUAAUGCCAGUCCUGCUGCCCAAGCAACCCAACAACCAGACAGGCAACGCCAGUGCAGGUUGCCUAGGUCCAGUUGGUGCUGGUCGGAAGGCUUGGAGGAUUGUCGGGGGAUGUUAGCAGAGGACAAGUGGGGCUGGCAGAGCAGUUUACACUGGAGAGGGAAUUGUGUGUGGGUGGGGGGGGUCCCUCAUCACCCCACGUUGGAUCAUUACUGCAGCCCACUGCUUCAUCCAGUAAGGGGGAGGGAGAGAGAAAAAAUGCUUUAUUUUUUAUUCCGAUGUCCAUAUUAUGACUUCCUCAACAACUCCUUUAGACUCUGAGGCUGUCUUAAUAUGGAAACUGUGCUUAUUAUAUUAGAUAAUAUGUGCCUUCUAUUUCCCUGCAUUCUCCAUACCCCAGGUACAACAUGUUGCAGGAGUCAGAGUGGCAGGUGGUUUUGGACACGCUCAGUUUGACGGACAAAUCAGCGGGCCAACGCUGCAGAGCACUGGAGAUCUUCUAUCACCCCAGCUUCUCCAUAAACAACAACGACUAUGACCUUGGGCUACUGUGCACCGUGGCUGACAUGGGCGGUGGGGUUCGACCAGUGUGUAUGCCCAGUCCUAGAGUCCUUCCUUCCUGGUGCCCCCUGUUGGAUCACUGGCUGGGGCUACACUAAAGAGGGGGGGAGACAGUGGAGGCCCGCUGGUGUGUGAGACAGGGGAGGGGGACUGGAGGCUGGCUGGGAUAGUGAGCUGGGGAGAUGGCUGUGGUCGGCCCAACAAACCAGGAGUCUACACCAGGGUCACCCAGCUGUACCAGUCACACAGAACUGGGUCAGUGCUUCUCUGAAUGUGAAAAUGCACCACUCCAUGUUAUGAUUUUGACUCUUUUACAGGUGGACACAUUUGAAGAAUCUGGAACCCCGAAAACAAUGAAUUGUAACUCUGACAGCUAUAUUUUAUUAGCAGCAAUAUGACCACUUACAUUUCUGCAAAAUAUUAAAGUUUGAUGUACUUUUGCUUCACAUUCCAUUUUUGUAUGAAAUAAAAAUGUC